AUGUUCUGUCAAUUUCUGCUGUACAGCAAAGUGACCCAGUCACACAUACAUAUAUACAUUCUUUUUCUCACAUUAUCCUCCAUCAUGUUCCAUCACAAGCAGCUAAAUGCAGUUCCCUGUGCUCUACAGCAGGACCUCAUUGCUUACCCACUUCAAAUGCAAGUGUUUAUGUCUGCUUCUGGUUACUUCGGAGGGCUGUCUGCUGCAUCUCAUUUUAAACAGAGUUAGAAUUUUGGAAAAAAGGAAUUCACGUCUGAACUUCACUGGACAGAACAACUUAGCAAGUGAUUAAGAGGUUAUCUGGACUACGCAGUUGGAAAUUAAUAAGCAAACUGAAAUAAUAAUAUUGGCUUGCACCCGUAGAGGCGCUUCCACAGGUAAUAACGCAAGGUGCUUUUGCAUGCAUCAUGUCCCUCACCUGUACAAGAUCCCUAUGAAACAGGUAGCACAGGUAUAAUUUGCCCCAUUUUGGGGAUGAAGAAACCUAGAUGCUCAGCUAUUAAACCACCUAGCCAGGAUAGGAUGAACAGUUAGGAAAGGAGGGAGAGUGACCACAACUCUGACUGAGUAGUGGCAUACAAUUCUGUAAGACAUUUUUAAGGACCUAAGAACCUGAGUGUUGGCCUUCUUCAGUUUUCCACUCUCUUCUUCAGCUCACAACUGGGUACAUACUAUAUGCACAGUUCUGUGCUAAAUGCACUGGGAAAGACUAAUAAUUAAGACAGUGAAUCUUCUUUCCAAGAAUUUACAAUUAAUAGAGUAUUGGCAGUUAUUUGCACCCAAAAUACCAGGAAGAAUGCGAUGUGUCCCAUCAGAGAUAUGAACUAAUUCAGCAGAAGAGGAAGAUUACCCACAAGCAGAAAAACCAGGGAGAGGCUCAUGAGUAGCUAUUAUAUGUCCCAGUUUGCCAGGGACAAUCCUAGUUUAUCCUUGUCCUUUCAGCUCUCUCUUCCAUUUUCACAAGUGUCCCAAUUUGUGUGACAAAUUACAUGGUCAGUCCUUUCAUGAAGGUGGUAGCAUUUAGGCUGGGCCUUGCAGAAUGGGUUGUAUUUUAAUGGAUGCAGAUUUGGGAAGAGAAUAUUAUUAGAAGAUGAGAACAAAAAACAAAAACAGGAAUUCCCAUUGUGGCUCAGUGGGUUAAAAACCCAACAGUCUCCGUGAGGGCAUGGGUUCGAUUCCUGUCCUCACUCAGUGGGUUAAGGAUCCAGCGUUGCCCCAAGCUGCAGCAUAGGUCACAGACGUGGUUCGGAUCCAGUGCUGCUGUGGCUGUGGUAUAUGUGGGCCGGUAGCUGCAGCUCUGAUUCAACUCCAAACCUGAGACCUUCCAUAAGCCAUGGGUGUGGCCAUAAAAAGGGACAGUAAGAAAGAAAGCAAGCCAAAGACAAGGGAAAGAAAUGAAAACAUGGUAAAUUUAGCGUACUGGGUAAUCCACAAGGUUGGCCAUAGUUGACUCUUUUCUUCCCUAUCUCUGCAAACUGCUCCAACCAUCAAGAGACCCCUCUCUUUGCCUUGAAUCUGAGCCCCCUAACUUGCCUUGACCAGAAUGCACUGACGUGUCAUGGUGCCAGCUCCAGGCCUAGCCUUGAAGAGGUCAGGCAGCUACUGCUCUUGCUCUUGAAAAGAGUAACCAAGAGAGCAAAGCAGCCAAGCUUGCCCAGAGUGGCGGGCAACAGUUCCAGCCAAGUCCACUGAGGGGCCACUCUGCACAUGGAGAAGGCAUGAUGGCCAUUUCUGCUCCCAAGUGGAGCAGAACUGCUCGACUGCCCGACGUGCAGAAUCCCAAGAGAUAAUGAACGGCCUAUGUGCUAUGCCACUAAACUCUAAGCUGGCUGACGACACUGCAAUAGCCACCUGGACCAGUAACAAAGUAGAGCAGAAGGAUUUAAGCUUGGCUAAGGUAUGACUGGCGAGGUGGGUAUUCUGUGUUGUCCUGUCCAGCCUCGGCCACAGGAAAGCUCUGUGUCCCUGUGUCUCAGAGGUGGGCUUUCCCAGAGGGGAUUCUGUCCCUCUGCCAGUGGUAGAGACCCCGGUAAGUCUGGGCCCAAGACUGUUUCCUCUCCGCUUCCAGGCCUACACCGAGAACAACUUUCUCAGGUCUCCUGCCCCAGCCUCAGUCUUUGUUCUGAGCACCCACGAAUUUUUUUUUUGGGGGGGGGCUUUCAUUUUAGGGCUGCACCCUCAGCAUAUGGAAGUUCCCAGGCUAGGGGUGGAAUCAGAACUACAGCUGCUGGCCUACACCACAGCCACAGCAAUGCGGGAUCCAAGCCGCAUCUGUGACCUUCACCACAGCUCAUGGCAACGCCAGAUCCUCAACCCACUAAGCAAGGCCAGGGAGCAAGCCCACAACUUCAUGGUUCCUAGUCCGAUUCGUUUCCACUGCGCCACAGCGGGACCUCCUCAGCCUUUAGCAAUUAUUAACAAUUUUAGCUGAAUGUAAUUUACCUAUUGUACAGCAGACCCACCUUCCUCUGUCUUAAGCUGUGCAACAGAGAAGCCAAUCUCUCCUUGGAGGUGCCUGUUUUUCCUUAGAUUUGAGGCUAGUUGUUGCCCUACAACUUCAGCUCUCUGAUGGGUUCAAGGCAGGUUUGUACACACCAGGUAGAAGCCAGAAGGGCGUGGCUGCUUUGUAAACUGUGACCCAGGGAACUCCAAGAGGUCUACGCUGGGGCCUCAGGGCAGCCUCCCAGAAAAGGGGAGGGUGAAUUAAUUAGUGGGCCUCUGAACCCUCCGUUUCUAUCUCGGCCAGUCAGCUCCUUUAAAAAUCAAGUUUAGAGCUUCUGCAGAAAGAGACAUGGGACCAAAACAGUUGGAAAACUUUGACCUAUACACAGUUUCAGCUGCACCAAGCAACGUGUCCCUUCCCUACUACCGCCUCCUCUCUGCUUGUUCCCUAAAGCGUGAAAUCCCUCUAGAGACAGAAAAGCUAGCACACCACACUUCGGUUCUUUUGUUGUUUGUUUGUUUGUCUUCUCAGGGCUGCGAGCACAGCAUAUGGAAGUUCCCAGGCUAGGGGUGGAAUCAGAGCUACAGGUGCUGGCCUACGCCACAGCCACAGCAACGCUGGAUCCUUAACCCACUGAGCGAAGCCAGGGAUCGAACCCAUCUCCUGCAUCUCCUUGUGUAUACUAGUCAGGUUUGUUAAUGCUGAGCCAUAAGCGGAACUCUGACACUCAGAGUUUAAAAUAAAAUACCUUAAGGAAAGUUGACUUAAAUUCACACUAAUGGAGCUGAUAAGAGGGUUUUUUUGUUCUCCAACAAGCAGCUUUAAUAAGAAGAAGAGAGCACAAAAACUGAGCCUGAAAAGUUACAAAGGUUCUGAAGUUAAGGACAGAGAAAUGAUUUCAAAAAGGAGGGUUCGAAUUCCUGCUGUGGUGCAGUGGGUUAAGAAUCCCACUGCUGCAGCUCGUGUCGCUGUGCAAGUGCGGGUUCCACCCUGGCCAGAGCAGUGAGUGAAGGAUCCUGCAUUGCUGCAGCUGUGGCACAGGUCACAGCUACAGCUCGGGGUUGGAUCCCUGGCCUGGGCACUUUCAUAGGCCCUGGGUAUGGCCAUUAAAAAAAGAACAUUCAGGCACAACGGGCCAACUGCCUGCUUCACAAUUCUGCCUACAGCUGGCACAGAGGCACAAACAUGCACACAAUCUACAGGCUCUCCAAGAAUCUGCUCAGCAGCUGUGCGAUGCAAGCAACCAGAGUUAGCACCUCAGGGGGUCCUGGGCGACGGUAAGAUGUAAAUACAGACACUUCCUUGUCAGCCAAUUGGCCUGGGAGCCAGCGACAGGCACCCAGCGGCAGUGUGUCUGGCCCUGGCAGCGCAGAGCUGGGCCCUGGCUGCGCAGAGCUGUGAUACUCAAGAUGAAAUACGAAGGAAGGAAGGGAAAUAUAUUAAGGACCAUAAAAAACGGUCACCGUAAAGCCACUCCAAACAAGAGCAGGAGAAAAGCUAAGUGCUUCUCCAGGAAGUGUACCCUCAGCUUCCAAGUGUCACAUGAAUCAUCUAAGGAAAAUCUUCACAGCUGGAGAGGUAAUGUCUAGAAAAAAUGCUAAUAGUACUAAAGGCUGUUCUAUCCUUCCAAGCGAGGGCGACGCAGCCAGAAACAGUGUUAGGGAUUUAUCAAAUCAGGUCUCGGGGAAAGACAUUAAAAAGGAAAACAAAUGUAGAAUAAAUUCUCCUAUAACCCUUAGAUGGAAUGACUAAGAUACAGGUGGUUCGCGAUACAAUGUGUGCCCGUCGGAGAUUAAUGUAAAGACUUGAGACAUGAGAAAAUGUCAUUAUUUACUGCAGAAAUUUGGAGCCCUCCAUGGAUACCUGAAAAGGUAGAUAUGGCAAGAAACAAAGGUCAACCACUGCACUCCUGAACUCAAUUCAUAGCUUCGUCUAAUUGUUACUUAUGUACAUUAAUCUCACCUUCGCAACUCAAACAUGAACCCCUCUGGAGGUCAAUUCUGUUUUGGAGACUUCUUUUUUUUUUUUUUUUUGCAUUUCAUGUAUUAAGUAAACAAAAGGCACUUAAUACAGAUAUACCAAGGAAGUCCAAUUUAUCAAUCUGUUCUAGACUGUGCUUUUAGUGAUGAAUCUAAGAAAUGUUUAUGGAGCCCAAAGUCACAAAGGAUCUCUUCUGUGUUUUCUUAGGUUUUAUAUUUAGGUCUAUGACACAUUUUGUGUUAAUUUUUUAUGAUGUAAGAAAUAGACUGAAGCACAUAUUUUACAUAUGGAUAUCUAAUUUUUUCAGCACCAUUUGUUGACGGCUAUCCUUUCUCCACUGAAUUGCCUUUGCAUCUUCACCCAAAAGAAGCUGUCCCAUGUACGUGUGGAUCUAUUUCUGGAUUCUCCAUUCUGUCCCAUGGAUCUGCAUUGCCUUGAGUACUGUAGCUCUGUAAUAAAUGCUCAAAUCAGUUAUCUAGUCAUCUAACUUUCUUCUUAAUUUUUCCAGCUGCUUCUUGGCUAGUCUAAGUCCUGUGCACAUCCACAGAAAUUUUAGAAGCAGUUUGU
rnacentral:lncRNA from 1 species